rnacentral:rRNA from 1 species
AUUGAACGCUGGCGGCAGGCCUAACACAUGCAAGUCGAGCGAGCGGCGGACGGGGGAGGAAUGUAUGGGGACUGCCCGAUAGAGGGGGAUAACUACUGGAAACGGUAGCUAAUACCGCAUACUAUCGGAUAACCCAUAUGGGAUUAGCUAGUAGGUGAGGUAAUGGCUCACCUAGGCGACGAUCCCUAGCCGGUCUGAGAGGAUGAUCAGCCACACUGGGACUGAGACACGGCCCAGACUCCUACGGAGGCAGCAGUGGGGAAUAUUGCGCAAUGGGCGCAAGCCUGAUGCAGCAAUGCCGCGUGUAUGAAGAAGGCCCUAGGGUUGUAAAGUACUUUCAGUUGGGAAGCGUUACCGACAGAAGAAGCACCGGCUAACUCCGUGCCAGCAGCCGCGGUAAUUC